GGAUGCGAGGACCAUCAGGCUGUGACAUCUGUCACCCCCCUUACCGCUAGGGUUGAUAUGGGCUGGCUAGGCAGGUGCCCUCUUCCUCCCCUCACAGCUCCACCUGCGUCCCUCCUGAAGUUGUGCGAUUGCUUGGUCGAAGAGGCCGAGUUGGAGGACCUUUUGGCUUAAUGAAAACUGUAUGCCUACUCAUAAAUGUUUAAAUGCAUAAUGCACAUUUCUACGUGAACAUACAGUCUUCCUUUCUCCUGG
rfam:Fukomys damarensis contig134888, whole genome shotgun sequence.